UACGUAGGGAGCAAGCGUUAUCCGGAUUUAUUGGGUGUAAAGGGUGCGUAGACGGGAAGUCAAGUUAGUUGUGAAAUCCCUCGGCUCAACUGAGGAACUGCAACUAAAACUAACUUUCUUGAGUGCUGGAGAGGAAAGUGGAAUUCCUAGUGUAGCAGUGAAAUGCGUAGAUAUCGUAAGGAAGACCAGUGGCGAAGGCGGGUCUCUGGACAGUUCCUGACGCUGAGGCACGAAGGCCAGGGGAGCAAACGGG
rnacentral:rRNA from 1 species